GGUAUACUCUAUGGGUGCUUAAUGUAGAAGAAUAAGCAAAUGACAAAAUGAACAUAAAUAUGUGAAUGUAUGUACAUAUAUAUAUAUAGUUUGUAUGUUUCAUAUGUAUGACUAUACAUAUAGAUUUAUCAUAUAUAUGGACAUAUAUAUGAUAUUUGCCUCAUUUUGUUGUAAACUUGCAUAUGAUAGUUUUAAUGUUGAAAUUACUAGAGGGUCUGUCCUAUAUUAUCAUGGUGGCGAGAAUUAAUUUGUCUUAUAAACUAGCUUUAUGAGUUAUAGAGUUUUCACCAUUACACUAUUUUUAUAUUAGAUUCUGAAAUAGAAUGCUGAUUUUCUGAUCAUUAUUCCUUUCUUUCUUUCAUUUUUUUACCACAUUUUCUUUGACUUUUUUUUUCACAGACAUUCCCCACUCCUCUGCUAGUAGUUCUAAUCUCCGACAAAAUAAUCCAAACUACUGAUGAGGAUUCAAAGAGGUACCCAUGGGAUUAUUGAAUAAAAAAUUUUAUUUCAUCCUAGCUCUUUGAGAAACUCCAUUUUACAAGAUAAGAAAAAGUUCUUAUUAAAAAUAUCACUGAUAUUAAUUUAGCCAUUAUAAAUUAUGCUUCAAAGAACCCAACAUAAACCUGUAAAUCUUCCAUCAGGGCUUUACCUCUAACAUUGUCUCCUUUUAUCAUGUGGCAAAUAAUCCCCCAGCAUUAUAACAUAUUUCCUUUUGGAUAUCCUGAGAAAAAUGGCUGAGCUCAUAUAUAUAUCAUCAGUUAAAUUUAAUAAAAAUCCAAACAGAAUCAACUCCUAAUUAUUAUUAUUUUUUACAUAUAAUGCUUGUAUACUUACAAAAUUAUUGGACAUAGACAAGGGAUUCUGUGAAGUAGUCAGUGAUUCCAUAAGUUGGUGCAGGUGAUCUG
rnacentral:lncRNA from 1 species